GGGAAAAAGUUAUCAAAGAAUGCAUCAAUGAAAACUUCUCAAGUGGUAGGGGUAUGUAAGACUUCCUUCUUAAGUUGCCACCAGUGUUCACCUUCAUCGUUAAGCAUAAAAGCUGCUAGGGGAACCUUCUGUUCCUGAAUCAGGUCUAGAACAGAGAAAAUCUUCUCUAUUUAUAGGAUCUAGGCUUCAGCUACUAAGGGGUCAGAGCCACCUUCAAAAUGCAGCGAGUUAAGCUUCCUAAACUCUGCUAU
rnacentral:lncRNA from 1 species